GAUUUUACAGUCUACGUUCAGCUCGGCGUUACACUAAAUGCUAUUCGUACUGUAACAGUUAGUUAGUUAGUUAGUUAUACUGGUGCCACCGUGAGCUUCGUGUCCCUCUCAGGCUGCAGUUGGGGCGAUGAAUCCUGUGGUCUGGUGUCUAGUUAAGAUAAUGCUAACCUAGCUACCCUUAGCCAUCGAAACAAGCUGUGGUGCAGGAACAGGGCGAUUAUUCAAUAUUCAGAUUCCCGGAAAAUCUGUUCAAUGUUGGUCGCCAUCACAGUCAGAGAGGCUGGGACAGCUAAUACUCCACAACAUCCGUAUAGCAACACCAGCCUGGGUCGGAGGGGCUGGAGAGCACAGCCGUCCGCAGAUUCAACGGAUUAAUCUGUGCGGUUAUCACUGCCACAUCAAUGAAUGACACUGUCUGCUCAAAGAGGGGUUCGGUAGCUUUGAGGGAUUUCCUCUGCCCACUGCUGACCAUUUUAACUGAGAAAAUGCUCAGCUAGGUCGGAGACCCUCUCCAAGACAAUGUUUUACUGCUAAAAGUCAUGGUACCAGGCCAAAUGGCAGGAUUAAUUAGGCAAGGAGGCUGAAAGGAAUGACUGUGAGGGUAUGACUGUCCUUACCCAAUGAAACACAGGCAACAGGUUUCUCUGUUUGUAAUAACUAUCAACGCAAGAUUGUUGAUUUUUUUCAGCAUUGCCAAUACAAAACAACACCAUAGAAUCAUGCCCCUUUGUGGAGUGGGGCCUGCAUGGUACAGAGAGAAAAUGCAUGUGAUUUCUGCUAAAUGUUCACUACUUUAGUAUUGACAUUAAUCAAGUAAGCAGCCAAAAACAAUCUUUGUCUCUCUCUCUCUGUCUCUCACACAUAUUCUUUGAUAUUUAACUAUUCUGAUUCUCAUCCAGCCUGGCCAUCUGAAAACGGCUAUUGGGAAAUGAAUUCAUUUGUCAUGCUUGGGGAAGUUCUGCAUUCGAAAUGAAAGCUGGGGGCUGUGAUGGUCACUGCUAGUUGAUCAGAAGGGAUCCCACAAAUCCUCUGAAGCUUUCUGAGAUAGGCCUUUGUACUGUACGUCAUGCUAACUGCCAAAAAUAAUUAG